rnacentral:rRNA from 1 species
UUGAACGCUGGCGGAAUGCUUUACACAUGCAAGUCGAGCGGCAGCGCGGGGGCAACCCUGGCGGCGAGCGGCGGACGGGUGAGUAAUAUAUUGGAACGUAUCCAGUAAUGGGGAAUAACCUAGCGAAAGUUAGGCUAAUACCGCAUACGCCCUGAGGGGGAAAGUGGGGGACCGUAAGGCCUCACGUUAUUGGAGCGGCCGAUAUCCGAUUAGCUUGUUGGUGAGGUAAAAGCUCACCAAGGCGACGAUCGGUAGCUGGUCUGAGAGGACGACCAGCCACACUGGGACUGAGACACGGCCCAGACUCCUACGGGAGGCAGCAGUGGGGAAUUUUGGACAAUGGGCGCAAGCCUGAUCCAGCCAUUCCGCGUGAGUGAAGAAGGCCUUCGGGUUGUAAAGCUCUUUCAGCAGGGAAAAAACGGUUCGGGUCAAUACCCCGGACUAAUGAUGGUACCUGAAGAAGAAGCACCGGCUAACUACGU